GACGUAGGGUGCGAGCGUUGUCCGGAUUUAUUGGGCGUAAAGAGCUCGUAGGCGGCUCGUCGCGUCGACCGUGAAAACCCGCGGCUUAACUGCGGGCUUGCGGUUGAUACGGGCGGGCUAGAGUUCGGUAGGGGAGACUGGAAUUCCUGGUGUAGCGGUGAAAUGCGUAGAUAUCGAGAGGAACACCUGCGGCGAAGGCGGGUUGCUGGGCUGAUACUGACGCUGAGGCGCGAAAGCCAGGGGAGCGAACGGG
rnacentral:rRNA from 1 species